AAAAGCUUAAACAUGAGGGAUGCCCUCUUAUUCGUGAGGAUACAGUGUUUUGCAAGUCUAUCCUAAAUGAGUAUGCUGUUAAAAUGAACCUGGAGAAACCUACUUAUCAGACAAGUCAAUCUGUGGCAGUGCUUCCUGUUUUUAAGUCUACCUCGUUCUUCAAUGGUAUUCAUUAUACGGGAGAAAUCGGGAAAAACAAGAAAGAAGCUGAACAGCUGGCAGCUCGAGCAGCAGUUAUUUCCAUCUUAGAAAAUGGUGCUGGAACUGUGAUGUUUGAGAUCAUUAGGUCUAAAGGCAAGCUUUAUGCUGCACUAGAUAAAGUUCAGGAUACAGGUGAUGUUAAUGCUGGCUUCUUGCCAAUGGAAUUUGGUCGUCCACUUCAUGUGGAAAAAAGAAAAGAAGCUGAAAUUAGUGAAGGUGCUGGGGAAAAGGCUAAUAGUGGACUUUUAGCAUAUAGUUUGGGACAACCUAGUGACGUUCAGGCACCAGGUCAGCUUCAUUUAUUUAAAAGACCAAAGUCAGGAUCUUCAACAGUGGAAGUGGCGCCUGCCAUAGUAUUUGUGCCCCCUGUCCUGGAUCCAUCUUUGCUUUGCUCAACUUCUGGAAAGAAACGGCGAAACAAGAGGAAAGCAAAGAAAAAAAAUGUGCAAGUUGACCCUCAGGUGCCUGCUGCUACAUUGCCAUUGGCUCAAGCUCAAGCUCCCCCCUGCUCGGUGGCACAGUGAGUUUCUUAAGCGAUUAUUGUUGGCAGAGGUGAAGCAACUUAAUGAAAACCAUGGAACGCCAAUUGUGUUUGCUGGGGUUAGUUCAUCAGUUGGAAUAUGUUGCAUUUGCUAGAACUGAGUCCAAUAUCUGUUUCCACUCACCUUAACUACGCAUAAAUGUAUGUUAGUCUUAUGUAAGUUUUUGCUCCUUGUAGUAACUUGGUACAGACAGUGUCCGCCUUGUCAAAGACAUGCAAGUUUUGCUGUAGUCGUGGAUAGUUUCUUUAUGGUUUGAUAAAAAU
rnacentral:misc_RNA from 1 species